ACUAGUGCGCAUGUACUUGUUUUUUAUUUUUUUGGUGCUUUAUCUGGUGUGCAUAGACGAGUGUGAGAGAGGAUGAGAGUUUUGGAGAGAGAAGCUGACGAUAAUGAUGCAGAAAAUCCCAAAAGCUAGUAUGGUUUUGAGAGAUGGUGUUUGUGAUCUUCAAAAAGCCUUUGCACUGUGACUAGAGUGGGUGAUGCUCAUACUGUGGUAUCACUCCAUUGUUGGAAGUUUAUAGUUCGUGGUUGUCAAGCACGUGAUUUACCCACAAGGAUCUUCGUUUCGGAUUCUUUUACACAAGGCCUUUGCGCUGUGACUAGAGUGGAUGAUACUCAUACUAUGGUAUCACUCCAUUGUUGGAAGUUUAUAGUUCGUGGUUGUCAAGCACGUGAUUUACCCACAAGGUUCUUCGUUUCGGAUUCUUUACACAAUAAAAAACGAAACCCGUCGUCUGAGUUUUGUGGAGAAAUUUGUUAGAGAGAGAGAGAUGACGAUGAUGGCGAGAAGUGCCGAUGCUGCUGUGGUUUUCAGAAAUGGUGUUUGUGAUCGUCUUCACAAGGGUAUUUUCUCUCAAUUUCCUUGUUUUCUUGCAAUCUUACUGAAUCGCUCUUCUCAUAUUCAUAUCACUGCUUCUGCGGAAGACCAAUUUCAACUUGGGUUUGCUAAUGUUGACGAUGAUGAUGAUGCCCUAGCUCAAUUUGAUCACAUGCUUCGAAUGCGACCUUUGCCCUCAAUUGUUCAAUUUAAUCAACUUUUAACUUCAAUUGCAAGAACUAAGCAUUACUUCACCGUGAUUUCUCUGUUUAGGAAAAUGAAUUUGUUAGAAUCUGGGUUCGUCAAGCCUGAUAAGUUUACACUUAACGUUGUGAUUAAUUGUUUCUGUAAGUUGAAUCGAGUUGAUUUGGGUUUUUCUAUUUUGGGGAAUCUAUUGAAACUUGGUUAUGAACCAAACAUCACAACCUUCAAUACCCUGAUCAACGGGCUUUGUGUAAAUGCUAAGAUCAUUUCGGCAGUUAAGUUUUUUGAUGAAAUUGUGGAGAAAGGGUUCCAACCCAAUGUCAUUACAUUUGGCAUUGUAAUGAAUGGACUAUGCAAAAUUGGAAACACUAGUGCUGCUAUUCUUUUGCUCAGAAAGAUGGAAAAAAUAGGAGGUUUUGAGCCUGGACUAGUGCAAUACAGCAUGAUCAUCGAUAGCCUUUGCAAGGACAGACUAGUAACCGAGGCUUUCAAGCUCUUUUUGGAAAUGAUAGGUAAAGGUAUUUCACCAGAUGUCGUCACUUACACGUCAUUAAUUCAAGGUGUAUCUAGUUUAGGUGAAUGGGAAGAAGCUACAAGAUUGUUGAAUGAAAUGGUUGGUAAGAAAAUCUGGCCAAAUGUUAAAACUUUUAACAUUUUAGUUGAUGCACUUUGUAAAGAAGGAAAGGCCAAAGAAGCACAAGUUGUGGUUGAAUUGAUGAUCCAAAGAGGUGUGGUGCCUGGUGUUGCCACUUACAAUUCUGUAAUGGAUGGGUACUGUCUUUGUGGCCAAGCAGAUGAUGCAAGGAAAAUGUAUGAUGUUAUGGUCAGUAGGGGUUGCGCUCCUGAUGUUAUCACUUAUAACAUCUUGAUUAAUGGUUACUGUAAGAUCAAAAACAUAGAUGAAGCCCAUGAGUCUCUUUAAGGAAAUGUCUAGAAAAAGAUUGCUUCCAGAUACUGUUACCUAUACCACUCUUAUUGGUGGCUUGUGCCAAGCAAGAAAACUUCGAGAUGCACUUUUUCUUUGUAAUGAGAUGCAAGUUCAUGGCCAAAUUCCUAAUCUGUUUACUUACUCUGUUCUUUUGGAUGGCCUAUGCAAGAACCAACAUCUUGAUGAGGCAUUAGCAUUGUUUAAAAAGCUUGAAAAGGCUGGACUAGCUCCUGAUAUUGUGAUAUACAGUAACCUAAUUCAGGGUAUGUGCAAAGCUGGGAAGCUCGAUGAUGCAAGAAAACUCUACUUGAGUCUUUCUGCUAAAGGUUUGAAACCUGAUGUCCACACAUACAAUAUAAUGAUCAAUGGACUUUGCAAGGGAAGGCUACUUGAUGAAGCAAGCGAGCUGCUAAUGAAAAUGGAAGAAGAAGGAUGCUCACCAAAUUUUUACUCAUAUAAUAUAUUGGUUCAAGGAUUUCUACAAAAUAAUGGAAUACAAAAAGCAUUGCAACUGCUUCACAUAAUGGAUGAUAGAGCUAUCUCUGUGGACCCAUGCACUGUAACCUUGCUAGUUUCGUCCUGGGGCAACCCAAAUUCUGCUAACUACAUCAUAUUGUUUAUGCUAUGAAGUUCCCAAUUUCUUGGAAAGCAAUUCUUUAAACUAGUUUCUCUCACAUGGUCCCCAAAAAUAUCAACUGAAGAGAAGCUCAGUUUUCUCAAUAACAAGUUUGGUUGUUUCAUUUUCUAGUUGUCUUUGUUUGUGAUUUUGUCUAUGAUUGAAAGUUUCAGAGAUGACUCAAUCAAUGAACUUAAUAGAGCUGCUUGAGGAUGCUCAUUUGGAGCUCUAGAUGGAAGCAUGAAGUAAGUAGCAGGAUUGUUAAUACCAGUGUUUUAAAUGUUGGACCGGACCAGUCAGUACAACCGGUUGACACAUUGUCUGGUUUAGGUUCUGAUUUAGAUGAACCACCAAACCUUUUAUGAAUGAAAAAUCGACUUUUUUCAACCAGCAGACCAUGUUUCCACUUUGUUAAAUAUUUUAUAAUCACCCCAUUUUAUUUAGCUAGGAGUAUCUGGUCCAACAGAAACAUUGAGCUUUUGGGGGGCAAACACCACUAACCUCUUGAGGUUGCUCAAUUUAUGAUGGAGCAGUUGAAUCUUUGUAUUGCUUGCGGUUGAGUCUCUGGCAAUCCAAACACUACCAACAACUACAUCAUGUGGUUGUAUGCUAUGAAAGAGGAGUUCCCAAUCCCUUGGAAAGUAAUUCUUUAGACUUGCUGCCUUGACUAGUCUCCAGACGUAACAAUUGAAGAGGAGCCCAGUUUUUGUUUCAUUUUGUAAUUGUCUUUGUUUGUGAUUUUGUCUCUGAUUGAAAGUUUCAGAGAUGACUCAAUCAAGAAGAAAUUCUGAGUUGGAUUUCUCGGUGGAAGCAUGAAGUAGAAGAAAUUCUGAUUUCAGUGUUUUAAAAGUCGGACCGGACCAUCUAGUACAACUGAUUGACACAUCAUUUAGGUUCGGAUCCAGUUGAACCACCAAACCUGUUAUGAACAGAAAGUUGACUUUUUCUAACCACCACCAGGCCAUGUUUCCACUUUGUUAAGUAGUUUAUAAUCACU